rnacentral:rRNA from 1 species
UACGUAGGGUGCGAGCGUUGUCCGGAAUUAUUGGGCGUAAAGGGCUCGUAGGCGGUUUGUCGCGUCGGGAGUGAAAACCAGGUGCUUAACACCUGGCUUGCUUUCGAUACGGGCAGACUAGAGGUAUUCAGGGGAGAACGGAAUUCCUGGUGUAGCGGUGAAAUGCGCAGAUAUCAGGAGGAACACCGGGGGCGAAGGCGGUUCUCUGGGAAUGACCUGACGCUGAGGAGCGAAAGUGUGGGGAGCGAACAGG